rnacentral:lncRNA from 1 species
CCUGGCUGGUCACCUCUGAGGUAGUAUAUAGUGUCCAGGUUGUGUAUCCAUGUUAAACUGAUGCUUGGCUGGUCAGCUCGGAGGUAGUAUAUAGUGUCCAGGUGGUGUAUCCAUGUUAAACUGAUCCCUGGCUGGUCACCUCGGAGGUAGUAUAUAGUGUCCAGGUGGUGUAUCCAUGUUAAACUGAUCCCUGGCUGGUCACCUCGGAGGUGGUAUAUAGUGUCCAGGUGGUGUAUCCCUGGCUGGUCAGCUCGGAGGUAGUAUAUAGUGUCCAGGUGGUGUAUCCGUGUAAAACUGAUCCCUGGCUGGUCAGCUCGGAGGUAGUAUAUAAUGUCCAGGUGGUGUAUCCAUGUUAAACUGAGGCCUGGCUUGUCAGCUCGGAGGUAGUAUAUAGUGUCCAGGUGGUGUAUCCAUGUUAACCUGAUCCCUGGCUGGUAGUUGGGACGAGUACUGAUACAUAAAAGAUACUUAAAGGCAUCCACAAUAUAACAUUAUCUGCAAUUAAUCAUGGGAUCACAACGAACUUGGAAACUUAACACACGUUUUACUUUUGAAAAUAAAACAUACAAUUUCUAAGCAAUCCAUAUGACCGGAAGAAAGCCACUACCUGUUUGUGGACAGUGAAUGUACAAGGAAUGUUCCCUUGUAGAUCUUGAGUUGACAAACGACGUGCAUACAAGGUUUGGUCUUAGGCUUCUGAAAGUGACUCUUUUUCAUACCGACAUUGAAAGCCGUAGAGUAAGCCAGUUGUCUUGAAAAUAUACUGAACAGCAAAAGAAACGCAAGUCUGGCAUUUUGCCAAGUUUAUGAAUAGAAGACAACCAA